rnacentral:rRNA from 1 species
AGAGUUUGAUCCUGGCUCAGAACGAACGCUGGCGGCGUGCUUAACACAUGCAAGUCGAACGCGAAAGGGACUUCGGUCCCGAGUAUAGUGGCGCACGGGUGAGUAACACGUAGGCAACCUACCCUUCAGUGGGGGACAACAGAGGGAAACUUCUGCUAAUACCGCAUACGGCCUUGUACUGGGAUGCACGAGGAGAAAGGAUUUAUUCGCUGAGGGAUGGGACUGCGGCCUAUCAGGUAGUUGGUGGGGUAAAGGCCUACCAAGCCUGCGACGGGUAGCCGGACUGAGAGGUCGACCGGCCACACUGGAACUGAGACACGGUCCAGACUCCUACGGGAGGCAGCAGUGGGGAAUAUUGCACAAUGGGGGAAACCCUGAUGCAGCGACGCCGCGUGGAGGAUGACGGCCUUCGGGUUGUAAACUCCUUUUGUCAGGGGCAAUGGUGAUGGUACCUGACGAAUAAGCCACGGCUAACUCUGUGCCAGCAGCCGCGGUAAGACAGAGGUGGCGAGCGUUGUUCGGAAUUACUGGGCUUACAGGGCGCGUAGGCGGUGGUGUAAGUCUGGGGUGGAAUGCUACAGCUCAACUGUAUAGCUGCCUUGGAUACUGCAUUACUUGAGUCAGUGAGGGGAAGGCGGAAUUCCUGGUGUAGCGGUGAAAUGCGUAGAUAUCAGGAGGAUGGUCUGUGGCGAAUGCGGCCUUCUGGCACUUGACUG